rnacentral:tRNA from 1 species
GGAAUGUGGCUCAAGUGGUAGCAUGCUCGCCUGGCAUGCGCGGGGCACUGGGUUCGAUCCCCAGCACCA